GCAGAACGUGCAAAAGGUCGAAAACCCUAGCCGCCAGCCCUUCUCGUCCACCCCACGCCCUCCGCCUCCCCUCCUCCCCACUCCCUCCCCUCCCACGCCGACGCCCUCAAUACGCCGCCAGGCCGUCGACACGCCGGGAAUAGGCAGCGAUGGAGCGCAGCCCGAGCCCAGCAGAAGUCCACUCCUAAUCCUAACAAGAGCGGGCAGCGGAUUGGAUCGAGGAAGCCCUCGUGGCCACGCCGCCAGCGCCUUGAUUUGCUAGCCGUCAUGUGGAGUCGCCCUAGCCGCCGCCUAUAUCACCGUUGUGGGUCAACCUCACCGCUGCCGCCAGGAAUCCCAUCCCGGCAAGUUUUCAACAGAUUCAUACGACUCUGAAUGUUGUUCUGUAACUGAUGACUCAAAAUGAGCGUACACUGAAACUGAAGCCUUUGGAAGUUGAGACAGAAACCUUACUUGAGAGCAGGCAGAGGCGCAGAGCCAGCGGUAUGCUCUUGGAUCAAUAUUCUACAGGUUAAACAACAUUCAUAUGUUCUAGCAUCUAUAGAUUUACAUUUGCUUUUUAACAGUCUAAUUCUCCAUGUAAAAACUGCAUCCAUUUUGUUAUUGUGAUACUGCAAGUGUAAAUUAAGGAAUUAGCCUUUAUGGUCUAGCUUCGGUAUCUGUAAAUCAUGGUUAUGUACAUACUACAUAAAAAUGGAGCAUCCUUAUGCUACCAAAUUAUUUGUUUGAUCUGGCUUGUAGGUUUCUGAAUACUCUAUUGGAUUCUUCUAAGCUGCUGCUUGUUCAUCGUUUGCUGUUUUGCCUAUCAGGGAAGGUAACUACUAGAAGCAGUUGGCAAGACAAGCAUUCGAUGGAGCUCAAAGCGUUGAUCCUGAAGGAAGGUAACUACUCAAAGGUUCUCACCUUUCAACGAAGGAUCUCAUUUUGAAUCCUAAUUUUGGAUGUCUAGGUGGUUGGCUGAUGGAGAGUGUUGCACUGCUGCUUUUUUAAUGAUCAGUAGUAUUAGUAGUGCAGCUCACGAUUUGAUUUAAUUAGCGUUUUUGUAGUGAAAAAUAUGAAGGCACGUUUUCUAAAUUACUUUAGGAUAUCUUUGAAAGAAUGUGCUAGAUUUUGGUCCUAUUAUAUUUUCUCAAUUCCUAUGUCAUCUCUCACAUGGCUAUGUGGUCACCUCGGUUUUGUCUUUACAUUAUAUCUAUGUUGUACUACUGUUACCUCCCGCGCUACAGAAAGUUUUUUUUUUAAUCAGCUUUGCUCUCGUGUGUGUGCAAGGAUUUCAUUUAGGUACAAAACACCCGCCCCCCAUGGAAGUUACUUCUUUUCAGAGAGAGAAUGACCAUUAGUUUUUUCUAUGGAUUCAGUGGACAUAAAUAAUUAGCUCGCAUUUUAAGUUUGGUUUAGAAUUAGCUUUCCAGUUCUGUACAUGUUUUCCUCGCUGAUGAUGGAUUUCUUCUUCCAAGAUGAAUUAGUAACUUUAGCACCAAAUAUGAAGUUAUUUGGACAAAGAAAAUCUUCCUUCCUCUUUGCUAUUUUUCUCUCUUAGUGUUGCUUUGAUGUUCCUUUGUCACUGCUCGAUGUUCUGCCUUGGGUGGCCUCUGUCUUGGUUGUCUUGGUUUUGUUUGAACUGUACUUAGAUAGUAGAUAGUGCAGAUGAUUCCAUAUUCUUGCCUUCAUCUUUUUAACUCGUGAGAUUGUUAGAUAGUUGAAUAUCAUUGGCCUUUGUCGGCAUUCUAUUUUUGCAAUUUGAAAUGAGUAUUGAUCCAUUGAUGUUAAACUUCACAAUAGGUAGUGGCAUCUUCAGGAAAAAGUAGUGGCAGAUAUGCUGGACAUUCCUUUUCUGCUGCAGGAAUGACACUAUUGCCCAAGUCCUCGACACAUUUUUUUAGUAACGUAGAGGAUUAUUCACCUUUGGUGCUGCAGGCGUUCAGGACCUGGCAGGGCUGACGGCACGUUAGAGGAGCCAGCUCCUCUGCUGUACUGCACCCUGCCGUUGGCUCACUGACACGUGGGGCCGGGCCUCUCGGUCUUAUUUCCUUAUACAUUUGACUUGUACGCGCAGCCAGCGUUUCUAUGUGAUUUGGAUGAAUUUCUCAAUCCUCUUUUAUGUUGUGAUGUCAUUGAUUUUUAUCUCU